rnacentral:lncRNA from 10 species
CCAACUGUUACACAUUAACUAGCACACCACUGGAGUCAGCCCAACAAAUGAUUGGAAUCAGUUCCUGGUGUCCUUGCCAAAGCAUCGAGUUUUAAAUCACAGAUGACUGCCCCUGUGCCAACGAAUUCUUCUCCAGCCACCCAUCUAGCGUUAUGCUCCUUCGCCACCACACUGCGAAGAACCAGCGUCACCUGUGUUCCUUCAGCUCCUGCUGGCACACAUUAGCUUUGCAAUUCCUUUGGAGAACAGGACAGUUCUGACCAGAGCUGAGCAUAUGCCUCUCUGCUCUAGCUACGGUGAAGCCUGCCCCUGGAUGUUGGCAUCAAGGAGCAGUGGUGAGGGCAGGUCUUGAGAACAAACACCUUGCAGGACACCUACCACAGGAAGCACCACCCAAUGCCUUGCUCUCUGGCUGCACCCAUCAUAACUGACCACAGGUGAAAACUCCAGUAAUCAUAACGCCACUGUGUGAUGAACGGUCACCAGCGGUCAGCAAACUUUUUCUGUAAAAGGACAGAUAGUAAGUAAUUCAGGCUUUGUGGGCCUCGUGUGAUAUCUGCAGCGUAUUCUCUGACUUUUCCCCCUCCCUUUCCCUCUAGCCCACAAGCCAUGGAAGA